UCAAGAGACAUUUAAUAAAGCACAAGCAGCUGAGGCAUUUCUGCAAAAACAAAACAUAACAAACCUAGACGUGGACAAGAUAUUUGACUUGCAAACACUCCCCCAAACAGAAGCACAAUAAGGUGAACAAAUGCAUUGUGUUGGACAAAACUGAAGAAUGAGUGGAUACAUAAAUGGGGAAAGGAGAGGUAGAAGAAAGAGAGAAAGGAGAAAGGAAGGCCUGGACCUGCAAUUUCACUAAUAUAGGGAACUCCCAGUGAGAAAAUUUCAUCAAUGUAAA